UUGCUUAAUGAGAUGAGCUUUCUUGAGGUGUUUUGGAUCCAAGACCCUGUUUCACAGGGAGAACCUACUUGUCGAAGCUACAUUUCAUAUGAUGUUAGUGGAUUUUGACUG